UCGAGAAUAUUCGACAAUGGGGGAGACCCUGAUCGAGCGACGCCGCGUGAAGGAAGAAGGUCUUCGGAUUGUAAACUUCUUUUGCCAUUGAAUAAGCCGCAAGGCUGAAGGUAAAUGGCGAAUAAGGGGUUGCAAAUUCUGUGCCAGCAGCAGCGGUAAUACAGAACCCCCAAGCGUUAUCCGGAUUUAUUGGGCGUAAAGGGUCCGUAGGCGGUCCGUAAAGUUUUCCGUCAAAUUUUCAGGGCUCAACCUUGAAACCGCGGAAAAAACUAACGGACUAGAGGGUGUUAGGGGCUGAUGGAACGGUCGGUGUAGGGGUGAAAUCCGUUGAUAUCGACCGGAACGCCAAAAGCGAAGGCAUUCAGCUGGGAUAACCCUGACGCUGAUGGACGAAAGCGUGGGCAUAAAAAAGG
rnacentral:rRNA from 1 species